rnacentral:rRNA from 1 species
GGAAGUAAAAGUCGUAACAAGGUCUCCGUAGGUGAACCUGCGGAGGGAUCAUUACAAGUGACCCCGGUUUACCACCGGGAUGUUCAUAACCCUUUGUUGUCCGACUCUGUUGCCUCCGGGGCGACCCUGCCUUCGGGCGGGGGCUCCGGGUGGACACUUCAAACUCUUGCGUAACUUUGCAGUCUGAGUAAACUUAAUUAAUAAAUUAAAACUUUUAACAACGGAUCUCUUGGUUCUGGCAUCGAUGAAGAACGCAGCGAAAUGCGAUAAGUAAUGUGAAUUGCAGAAUUCAGUGAAUCAUCGAAUCUUUGAACGCACAUUGCGCCCCCUGGUAUUCCGGGGGGCAUGCCUGUUCGAGCGUCAUUUCACCACUCAAGCCUCGCUUGGUAUUGGGCAACGCGGUCCGCCGCGUGCCUCAAAUCGACCGGCUGGGUCUUCUGUCCCCUAAGCGUUGUGGAAACUAUUCGCUAAAGGGUGUUCGGGAGGCUACGCCGUAAAACAACCCCAUUUCUAGGGUUGACCUCGGAUCAGGUAGGGAUACCCGCUGAACUUAAGCAUAUCAAUAAGCGGAGGAA